rnacentral:pre_miRNA from 1 species
GGCUUUCUGAUGGGUGAAAAGCCCUUUCUUGCCCGGGCUUUCCCCAGAGUAGAAGGCUCA